rnacentral:rRNA from 1 species
UACGUAGGAGGCGAGCGUUGUCCGGAGUUACUGGGCGUAAAGGGUGCGUAGGCGGCCGCGCGCGUGGGGGGUGAAAUCUCCCGGCUCACCCGGGAGGGGGCUCCCCAUACGGCGCGGCUGGAGGGGCGGAGAGGGGCGUGGAAUUCCGGGUGGAGCGGUGAAAUGCGUAGAGAUCCGGAGGAACACCGACGGCGUAGGCAGCGCCCUGGCCGUCCCCUGACGCUGAGGCACGAAAGCUGGGGGAGCGAACAGG